rnacentral:lncRNA from 1 species
GGCCCACUCCGUAGGAUAUAAGUGCGGUUCUAUUUCUGGCCUAGCCACAGGGUAUAAGUGUGGUCGUAGCUAAAGGCUGAUGAGAUGAAUGUGAUUUGUUUUGAAUCAGAUUUAUGAUUAUGUAUAUGGAUAUUUGAAAAAUAUGAAUUUUAAUAAAUUUGUGCUUGAAAAGGAAUUGAUUAUGUUAUUAUGUUGAUUCAUCGCAAUUUGUAUUUAUAUUUUAUGU